UACGUAGGGUGCGAGCGUUAAUCGGAAUUACUGGGCGUAAAGCGUGCGCAGGCGGUUAUAUAAGACAGUCGUGAAAUCCCCGGGCUCAACCUGGGAAUUGCAUCUGUGACUGUAUAGCUAGAGUACGGUAGAGGGGGAUGGAAUUCCGCGUGUAGCAGUGAAAUGCGUAGAUAUGCGGAGGAACACCGAUGGCGAAGGCAAUCCCCUGGACCUGUACUGACGCUCAUGCACGAAAGCGUGGGGAGCAAACAGG
rnacentral:rRNA from 1 species